GAAGAAUAAGGACCUCACCCUGCAAGCCACGGCUGCUUUUAGAGCUGUAGAGGGGCUCCCACCUGCACACGUGCACCUGUGCGCCCUUAUGGCUGUCAAAUCCCCACUAAGUACCCCACUAAACAAGUGACACGGUCCAGUCUGCAACCUCUGUGGAGAAGAGUGGGGUUUGGCCACAGAGGGAAUCCUGCUAGAAUCAGAAGGAAGAAACCAGGAAAAAAGUGACAUGUUCCGAAGUCUACCUUCUGUGUUCGCAUCACCUGAGCUCGAGGCCAGACCUGCUGGGGCUCCUCAAUGCCUUCAGUUCCAUGCCCUUCAGAAAGCCGAGUUCUGGAUCUCCAGACUCUCAUGGGUGACCCUGGACCCAGCCAGCGCUCCUGACUUCUGUGCUAGACCCUCUUCACAAUGAGGAGGUGCGCUUGUUGCAGCGUGUGUGUGGAGGUUAGAGACCUGGUGGAAGGAGCUCUUUCCUUUUACCAUGUGGGUCCGGGGAUCAAAUUCAAGUUGUCAAGCUUGCAGCAGGAGCCUCUCUGCCGGCCGAGCUUCUUCCCGACCCUGGCUCAGCGGUAUCUGAGAGAUGAUGAUGGUGAUGAUGAUGAUGGUGACGGUGAUGAUGAUGAUGAUGACGACGACGACGAUUAUUAUUAUUUUAGGUCUAGAACUAAUAAGGUCCUUUGAACUCAGCCCCAUUGACUUGGUCCAAAGUUAGUGGUCCGAUUUUUUCUUUUAACCUGACAUCUUAAAACUGGAGCUGUCCCUUCAAGGGGACCAGGUGAAGCUGAGCCUGAUGCCUCCCACCUGAGAAUGAGCAGCUAGGUACGCCUCCUCACAUCAGUGGUGCCAGCACUUGGGACUUUAAUAUUGUUAGGAUUUCCAGAAGUCUCUUUUUAGUGACUGAGAUCACCCAAGUUACUCCUUCACCGAGGAACAGGCCUCAGCAGCAUUUCCUUUUCCCUAAUACUAGCCCAUCCCACCUAACCCCACAUCUACUAGGGAUGGACGAACGUGGAAAGCACUUGCUACUCAAAGUGUGGUCCUCAGCCUGGACACCGGCAACAUCCAAAAGCUUCUUAGAAGUGCAAAAGGUCACACCCAUUCAUAGACUGAUGGAACAGAAGCUCUUUAAGGAUCCCAGGCACCCAGACCACAGCAAAAUAUUUCUUGUAACCCUUGGGACUGGAGAGAUGGUUCAGCCAUUAAGAAGGUGGACUGCUCUUACAGAGGGCCUGGCAGCUUACAAAUGCCUGUAACUCUAGGUCCAGCAGGACUGCGUGCCUUUGUGAGUGGACCCACACAUAUGGACACACACAACUGAGAAAAUAUUAAAAAUAGUUCUUGGGAUUCUGGAGCCAUUGUCCCUUUCUCCUUCUAUAGUUGCUCUGAGCACUUCCCGAAUUAAGCCUUGUACUGGAAUCUUUUGUGACCCUCUGAAGGUCAGGCAUUGGAUCCCUUCUGUCAGAGUGAGCCCUUGGACUACUGGACAGGUUUCGUUUUAGCGCUUUGCCGAUGUUUACUUACCUCUCGCUGUUCAAUAAGCGUCUUUGUGAGGACAAGGAAGAAACGGCAGGUACCUGAGAAGCUUCUGCACACAGCCAGAAAGGGUUUGAACGGAAAGCCUGCUCUGCAGCAUGGUUUACUUAAUAAAUGUUAAGUGAAAACAUUAAAUGUCCUUCCUGUCGCCCUGGAAGUGGCUUUCACAGGGCCCACUACAAAGA
ensembl:lncRNA